GACGAACGCUGGCGGCGUGCUUAACACAUGCAAGUCGAACGGAAAGGCCUCUUUCGGGGGGUACUCGAGUGGCGAACGGGUGAGUAACACGUGAGUAACCUGCCCUUGACUUUGGGAUAACUUCAGGAAACUGGGGCUAAUACCGGAUAGGAGCUCCUGCUGCAUGGUGGGGGUUGGAAAGUUUCGGCGGUUGGGGAUGGACUCGCGGCUUAUCAGCUUGUUGGUGGGGUAGUGGCUUACCAAGGCUUUGACGGGUAGCCGGCCUGAGAGGGUGACCGGCCACAUUGGGACUGAGAUACGGCCCAGACGCCUACGGGAGGCAGCAGGGGGGAAUAUUGCACAAUGGGUGGAAGCCUGAUGCAGCAACGCCGUGUGCGGGAUGACGGCCUUCGGGUUGGAAACCGCUUUCGCUCAUGACGAAGCUUUGUGUGACGGUAGUGGGUAAAGAAGCACCGGCUAACUACGUG
rnacentral:rRNA from 1 species